rnacentral:lncRNA from 10 species
GUUUCACGAUGUUGGCCAGGCUGGUCUCAAACUCCUGACCUCAUGAUCCGCCCGCCUCGGCCCCCCAAAGUGCUGGGAUUACAGGCGUGAGCCACCGCGCCCGGCCUUUUAUCUAUUCUUUUAUGUUUUCAAAGUAUUUUCUCAUUCAUUGUUCAGAUUCUCUUAAUUGAUAACCAAGAUACCAAACAUCCCAAGUGCCUAGUCUUCUGUUUUAUCAUGGAAUUCUGUGAAUUAUUACCUAAAUCUGCACAUGAGCAAACAGGUUGGAGCGAGGGGCAGGGGCGAAGUCAUUGUCCAGGUUCACACAGCCAUCAACAAGUAACAAAACUGGGAUUUUAAGCCCGGAGUUCUCAACACCAAAAUGCAGGGCUGGUUCUUUCAUGACCCUGAUCCUUUGUGUUUUUGUUUAUUUCUUUCUUUGUUUUGUUCGUUUUUGAGCCAGAGUCUCCAUUUGUAUCCAGGCUCACUGUAGCCUUGACCUCCUAGGCUCAAGUGAUCCUCUUACCUCAGCCCCCUAAGUAGCUGGGACUGCAGGAGCACACCACCACCACACCUGGCUCAUUAAAUUUUUUUUUUUUUUGUAGAGACAAGAUCUCACUAUGUUGCCCAGGCUGGUCUCAAACUCCUAGCCUCAAGGAAUAUUCCUGCUUCAGCCUCCCAAAGUGUUGGGAUUUCAGGCAUGAGCCACCGUGUCCAGCUCCUGAGUCUCUGCAUAUGCUGUUUGCCCUUACUCUUCUUCCCCUCUUGACCUAAUUCAGCCUUCGAGUCUUAGCCUAGAUGUCGCCUCCACCAGGCAGCCUUCCCUGAACUUCCUUCUACCCCGGCUAGGACAGGUUCCCUCUCUUGUACUACCACAAUGGUCUAAGCUCAUAAUGUUUGUCAAUUUUCCUCAUCCACUAGGCUGUGCGCUGCUUAAGGGUGGGGCCUGGGGCUUAUUCACCCUUGUAACCCCAUGCUCAGUACUGUGCCUGACCCUCUGUAAAUAUUUGAUGACCAUGAACAGACCACUCUGGGUUGAAGUCUAGGUGGCUUUUUCAGGUAGCCCGUUUAUUUAUUUAUUUUUUGAGACAGGAUCUCCCUCUGUCGCACAGGCUGGAAUGCAGUGGUGUGAUCUUGGCUCACUGUAACCUCUGCCUCCAGGAUUCAAGCGAUUCUCCUGCCUCAGCCUCCGGAGUAGCUGUGACUAAAGGCACACAUCACCAGGCCCAGCUAAUUUUUGUGUUUUUAGUAGAGAUGGGGGUUUCACCGUGUUGACCAGGCUGGCCUCGAACUCCUGACCUCAAGCAAUCUGCCUGCCUCGGCCUCCCAAAGUGGUGGGAUUACAGGCGUGAGGCACUGUGCCUGGCCAGGUAUCCCCGUUUCUAUUCCAGGCUCUGGUUUCUGUGGUGGGAACACCAAGGCAGCACCCUGUGGGCUGCCUGCUGUGGCCGAGUCUCUGUCAGUAGCCUGGAGUCUUUUAUUCCCAAUAUAGGGAUGAGCAGUUGAGCAAAGAUCCUAAGGCUUUCCAUUUCUCCAGCUACUUUUCUGAACUAAGAAGCCUGGGUAGACAAUAGGUCUGGGCUGAGAGAGGUGGUUGGAAUAAGCUGGGCUCCUCUCCCUGGCACCAGGGCCGGCUGCAUAGAUUUAGAAAGGCCCAUGCUUACUGGGUGUGGAGGCUCAUGCCUGUAAUCCCAGCACUUUGGGAUGCCAAAGUGGGAGGAUUGCUUGUGGCCAAAAGUUCAAGACCAGCAUGUGCAACAUAGAACCCCAUCUCUACAUAAAAUAAUAAUAGUAAUAAUUAGCUGGGCAUAGUAGGUGCUCCUGCAGUCCUAGCUACUUGGGAGGCUGACGCAGGGGGUGAUUGCUUGAGUCCAGGAGUUCGAGGCUGUAGUGAGCCAUGAUUGCACCACUGCACUCUAGACCCUGUCUCAAAAAAUAAAAACAAGAUGAAAAUAAAAAUAAUAAUAAAAAAGAAAAGUCUGUGUUUGGUUUAAUGUUCUACUGUCACCAUCUUAAAAAUCUUAAUAAUUUUGGAACAAAAGUCCCACGUUUUCAUUUUGCCCUGAGCCCUGAAUAUUGUUUUUUGAGACAGCGUCUUGCUCUGUCACCCAGGCUGGAGUGCAGUGGUGCAAUCUCGGCUCGCUGCAACCUCCCCCUCCCAGGUUCAAGCAAUUCUCUUGCCUCAGCCUCCCCAGUAGCUGGGACUACAGGCACGUGCCACUGGGUCCAGGUAAUUUUUAGAUUUUUAGUAGAGAUGGGGUUUCACCAUGUUGGCAAGUCUGGUCUCACACUCCCAACCUCAGGUGAUCCACCCACCUUGGCACCCCAAAGUGAUGGGAUUACAGGCGUGACCCAUCAUGUCCGGCCCUAGCCCUGAAAAUUAUGUCACCACUCCUGGCUGGUCACUAGCUGCCAGGGCCUCUGAGGACCCCUGCCUCAACUCCGGACAAAGCCAAGCCUCCACACUAAAGCAGAAACAUAAACAACCAGCUCAGGUUGCCACAUAGCUUAACCCCCUUGUUCUCUGCCACUGCAGCAAGAAGCUGCUGAGAGGGAACUUUCAUCCCCUGAGGUCC